GAGCAAGGGUAGCAUCACGGCCAGAGUGCAUUGAGAACCCAUGAAAGUCAUGGAUGAGGUCAGAGAGGUAACACGGGGGUAGGCAUGGAAACAAGACCAUGGAGGGCCUUGUAUGAGGGGAGCCAUAAUUUAUUCAAAUCAAAACAUUUCUGAGGGAGUUCCCGUCGUGGCGCAGUGGUUAACGAAUCCGACUAGGAACCAUGAGGUUUCGGGUUCGAUCCCUGCCCUUGCUCAGUGGGUUAACGAUCCGGCGUUGCUGUGAGCUGUGGUGUAGGUUGCAGAUGCGGCUCGGAUCCAUCGUUGCUGUGGCCCUGGGGUAGGCCAGUGGCUUCAGCUCCGAUUUGACCCCUAGCCUGGGAACCUCCAUAUGCCGAGGGAGCGGCCCAAGAAAUGGCAAAAAAAAGACAAAAACAACAACAACAAAAAACAUUUCUGAGAAUGAAACAAGACACUGUUGAUAAAGGCAAUAGCUGUGGAGUGCUAAGUGUCAGAUUCUGGAUAUAGUUUUGAAGGUAGAGCCUAUAGUGUUUCUAGUAUGAGAGAAAGAAAAUGCAUUUUUAAUUGAAAAGAACCAUAAGAUUUUUUUACCUGAGAAAUUGGAAGGAUGGAGUUUCCAACAAUAGAAAUAGGGAAAGUGAGGGUAUAUCAGAUGUUCUGAAGGUAGAGGGAUUCAGGGCUUUGUUGUGGAUGCGUUGGAUUUCAGGUGCCUAUUGGACAUCCAAGUGGCAAUGUCAGAUAGGCAGUUAUCUGUGCAGAAGGUGAGGAGAGAAGUCUGGGCUAGAGUUCUUGGCUUGUAAAUGGACUGGAACCAAGAGCUUGCAUGAAGUCAUCAAGGGAAUGAGUAUACAUAAGAAAAAUAUCACCAAGAGCUGAGCCUUGGAGAUGCCCAACAUUAGAGGUGAGAAAAAGAAGGAAACAGGAAAAAGAUGGAAGGGAAGUGACCGCUGAGAUAACCAAGAGAUGUGAUAGGCUAGCCGGAUGAGCUGAAGACUAGGAAUUGAUUCCUGGAUUUAUCUAUGUGGAGGUCAUUGUUGACCUUGCUGUGAAGUCUAGGUAAAGUGGCAGGUAGGAAAGGCUGUUUAAAGUGGGGCUGAGACAGAGCGGAAGAAGAAUCAAAGACUGUAUGAGUAUGGACCACUCUUACAAGGAGUCUGCUACACAAGGGAACAAAUGAGAUACUAGCAAGCAGAAGAAGAGGUAGGAGGUGGUUGUAGUGUAGAGAGGGCCUCAAAUGCUGGGCUAAAUGGUUUGUGGAAUUUUAUGCAGUUAAAUAAUAUUAGAGGUGACAUGAGUAUGGGAGCUAGCCUACCUGAGUUAUAAUGUGACCUAAGUAAGACAAGCAUGCCCCAUUUUCUACUUUGCGUUGUAAAAAUAAAAGGGAUGUUUACCUCUGAGACACUUACUAGAAUAAGUUAGUCCAUAUAAAAGGGCUGAGCAGUGUAUCUGUCUGAUAGUAAGUAUUCAAUAAACUUAGAUUUUUAUUAGUGGUAUUCCUGUCAAUAUCAUGAUGAGCUGUCAGCCUCAUUCAGGGUAUGGGUUCCAACACCAUAAACAUUCUCCACCUGGAAAUCCAUGGCAGUAACUGUUCCUCAGGGUCAAUGGGAUGCAGUAAAGGGCAGAGAAUCCUAGAAUAUCUUUUCCCUACUUCAAGCAAGGUAAGCUCAGUUUUAAAUAUGAUUUGUUUCACUUAAGCUGAGCAAACUGGCCUCAGGGACAGAGGUCUCUCCUGCAUCUCAGACCAGGAGACCCAGGAAGAAAACAAGCUCUUACCUAGUUUAUUUUCCAUACUUGAUACUGUUUUCACUCCUGGGUGCUCCCAGGCAUCUGCAGUUGGUGUUCUGCUCCUGCAGACAGAGGUCCCACUUUAUUGUGUUGUUUUUUUUUGGGUCUGUGAUCUCAAAUUCAUACUUAAUAAAUAUAGCAAUAAGAAUUUCCCUUCCGGAGUUCCCGUUGUGGUGCAGUGGAAACAAAUCUGACUAGGAGCUAUGAGGUUUUGGGUUCGAUCCCUGGCCUCGCUCAGUGGGUUAAGGAUCUGGUGUAGCUGUGAGCUGUGGUGUAGGUCGCAGACACGGCUCGGAUCUGCUGUGGCUGUGGCAUAAGCCAGCAGCUGUAGCUCCAAUUAGACCCCUCGCUGGGGAAUCUCCAUAUGUUGCAGGUGUGGCC
ensembl:lncRNA